UUUGAUAAAUAAUAUAUAUACAAGUACAAUUUUAUGUGUAUGAUAUUAUACAAAUAAUCAUUGUUAAAGAAAUUAAAAUUACCAAAUAUAUGGAAAUUUAUAUGACUUUAUAAUUGCAUUACAAAAAAAUUCAACCUCUAGUUCAGAACUAAACAUAGGACAAUAAUUUGUUGCUUACAACAAAUUUAAGUUGUCCUUAUCAUUUUUGCAUGCAG
rnacentral:misc_RNA from 1 species